GACCACGCACCGGUACAAUCUGAGGAAGCGGUCACCUGUGUGAUUUCGCGCCGGACGACGGACUUUUCCGCAACCGAAGGCCCUCAGUAAAAUGCGUAGCCUCAGUGGGCUAGCUUCUUUGCGGCCAGUGCACGAAAAGAAGCUAGUCCCAGCCCAGCAUUCUGCUACAUUUGUUA
rnacentral:lncRNA from 1 species